ensembl:lncRNA
UACAGAGUCAUUUACUGUUGCUAAAGUGAAAAUGAAAGUAGGCUAUGCAGCAGGUUCCUGCAAAACGCAGCAAUUUUUUAACAGGGAAAAGACACAGUAUCAGAAUUUAGACUAUUCAUAAGUCAUAUCUAGACUACUGCAAAUUCUCUCCAAGUGAAUUCUGAAGCUGAGGCAGGAGAAAGAGUUGGUGUCUAUGCAAGACAGGUAGACAACAUUGCUUUUAAACAAAUUGUGACAACAAUGUUCAAUGUAUCACAGAA